AUGUACAUUCUUAGCUGAUGAUCAACGUGCUUUAGUAAUCACUGCAAACAGCACUUUUUGAGCUCCCUUUAUUGGCCUAAGAAUAGUCUUAGACGCAUAGUGUUAGGAAAUAUGUUAUUGAGGGUAGAAUAGUCAUUUUAUGUUUAGAGAGUUUGCUCAAAUAUAUAUAAAAGAAAUUAUUACCUUAAACAUGGUAUCAAAGCCUAUAGAAAAACGUUCAUCCCUUGAGGUCAUCGGAGCAACUGCCGUCGCCGUCGGCAGAACCUUAGUGUGCGAUUCUCUUCACCCACUCACUUCCACUGACUCCUCCAUCUCGUUACAGGCCUGCGACCACUCUGUCGUCUUUGCCAAGCCUCGAUUCGGCCUCGUCCAUCGUUGGCCAUCUCGGUCAAGCCUCAAUUCGUCGCAAUCGAGUCAACAUUGCUAUGCGAGUUGCUAUCCUAGGGUUUCUAAAGCUGCCAACUACUCAGCCUUCCUUCGAUUGACACUGUAAAUAUUGCUGAAGCCGCCGCUGAAGCAGCCUAGGUCGAAACUAGGGUCAAUUGCUAGGGUUUGAAGCGAAGCUAUAAAAAAAUUUGUUGUCCAGUGCUCUCAUACGGUUUCUUGUUGCAUCCUAUUGAUCCUUGAAGUGUUAGAUGGUUUGUGGUAAUUUUUCGAUACCAAUUCGAUGAUUUUAUCAGUUUUCGAUAAAUUCUUGUGAUUAGUGGUGAUUCAAUUGAACCCUCAUUUGUGGUGAUUAUUUUAUGGUUGAUUAUGUUAGUGGAGUUAAGUGAUUGGUUAUUGUGACGUUGUUCUUGGGUUCAAUCGUAUACUUUGUUCACUGAUGGCUGUUCCUCGAUCCUCUGCUAGUUUGACACAUUCUCAAUUGACCUCUGUCAAGUUGGAUGGAACUAAUUAUCCAUUUUGGUCUAAAGCUGUCAAAGUUUAUCUUACUGCCACCAACCAGCAUGAUUAUCUCAAGUCUAUGGUCCCCUUAGAUCAGAGUAAGGAAGCUGAUUGGAUUGCUGGACAUGCAAUGAUCCAUACUCUUUUAUGGAAUAGUAUGGAUCCUAAAAUUAGUCCUCACUUCGUUUGGUGCAACUCUGCCAAGGAAGUUUGGGAAAAGUGUGCCUUACUUUAUUUUGGAUAGAAUAAUAUGACACGAGUGUGUGACACGUUGGAGGCACUAUUUGAUCUUCAGCGUGGAGAUCGGUCUUUAUCUGAGUAUUAUGCUUGUUUCAUGAAACUUUGUCGGCCAUUGGAUACUUAUCUUCCAUUUUCGGACGAUCCGACUAUUCUAGUCAAACGCCAAGAGGAUCUUCAAGUUAUAUUGUUUCUCAAGGCAAUGGGACAUGAAUAUUCCUCCCUUAACCAUAUUAUAUCUUAGAGCUCCCUUCCUACAGUGAAUGAGGUUUUCUCCCAAGCACUUCAUUUGAUAUCUGCUGAAAAAAUUUCCAUCACGACUUUGGAGAUAAGUGCUAUGAAUUCUCAUGGCUCUAGUGGACAUGGAAUCCUCAGUCAUGGUUGCCGGAGUCGUGGAUGCGGUUUUGCUCAGAGUGGAGGUUGUAGAGGUUGUGAUGGAGGCAUUGGUGGUCGUGGCUCUCCCUAUUGUAAUCAUUGUCAAAGGGCAAGACAUACAAAGGCUUAUUGCUACACCCUUCAUCCCGAGUUUUUUCCUACUCUUGCUACCUAUGUAGAGGUGGAAGAGUCUCCCUCACUGGCUCCACCAAUUUCUACUAGUGUGUAGAAUACAGGUGAUUCUGUUACAUUGGCACGUGCUGAGUAUGAUGCAUGGGUUCGCUCCCAACAUGUGAUAGGCUCUUCACCUCCUACUGCAACUCAGGCAUAAACCUCAAAAGGUAAUUCGUCUUGUUUACUUUUUGUAGCGUCCGACUUAUGGGUUAUAGACUUUGGAGCUACUCAUCAUUUUACUGGAUAUCAGGACUAGACAGAUGAUUGGUGGGGGACAUGAAUCAAAUGGUCUUAACUACCUUGACAAGAAGGUACUAACUGCUGCAGUUGUGAAGUAUAAUGAUGUGAAUCGGAUGCAUUGUCGUGCUGAUCAUCCGCCACCGGACAUUCUUCGGUGUUUAUUUUCUGAGACUGAGUCAGUGAGUUCUUUUCAGUAUGAAGCUUGUUAGUUUGGUAGACACCAUAGGGUCUCUUUUUCUUCUCGCAUUCAAAAUCGUGUCUAGUCCAUUUAAGCUGGUUCACUUAGAUAUAUGGGGUCCGUGUCAUGUUUCUGAUUUCUUUAGUUUAAGAUAUUUUGUUACAUUUGUGGAUUAUUUUUCCCGAAUGACUUGGUUGUUUUUUAUAAAAGACUAUACUGAGAUUUUUCAUUGCUUUUGCGUAUUCUAUUUUGAAGUGUUGAAUCAGUAUCAUACUUCUGUCAAAACUUUGUGAUUAGAUAAUGCCAAAGAGUAUCUUGCCACCACUUCUGGUUUUAAACCUUUUCUUGAUUCUCAUGGUAUUAUUCAUUAGGCUUUCUGCUCAUACACUCUACAGUAAAAAGGUGUAACGAAAAAAUCGACAUCUUCUUGAUGUUACUCAUUGCCUCAUGUUUUACAUGCAUCUACCUAAAACUUUUUGCGGCCAUACUAUCCUUACAGCCUGCUAUUUAAUUAAUUGGCUUCUAACUGAUGUUUUUCAAGGGUGACGUCGUUCUCUAUUUUACAUCCAAAUUGUCCUCCCUUUCCCCUCUACGAAUCUUUGGUUGUGAUUGUUUUGUACAUUGUCUUACUCUAGGUCUUGAUAAGUUGGAUUAUCGUGUUGAGAGAUGUGUGUUUGUAGGAUACUCUCGAACUCAGAAGGGCUACAAAUGUUAUAGUCCUACUUGUCGUCGUGUGUUCGUGUCGGCGGAUGUGACAUUCUUUGAGGACCAAACAUAUUAUAAUGCUCAGAUGGUCCCUACGGCGAAUCCUAAUGGUGACGGGUGUGUCUUACUGACAUUCCACAACUCUCACUUCCUCCAGCACCGUCCAGAGGAUUUCAGUGUGCUGACUUACCUAUCAUCGGUAUGGUGCAGUUCUCAAUACAAUAGUACAGCCUUCACCGACACAUGAUUCAUCUGUUCACUCAUUAGUUGUUGCACCAUCCUCUGAUCUUGAUCCGUCUAUUGCUACUUGGAAAGGUACACGCUCUUGUAUUGGUUAUCAUGUGGAUCGUUAUGCUCCUUAUUCUGGUCUUUAUAUUUGUCUUAGUACUCAUCAUCCUAUUUUCAAUUUUUUGUCAUAUGAUCGUUUAUCUCCUAUCGUCUCUACCUUUGUCUUGUUCUUGUCCUCUAUUACUGUGCCUAGUGAUUUUGUUGAAGCUCUUGCUCAUCUUGGAUGGUGGCAAGCCAUGGAGGAUAAAUGAAGGCGCUCAUCAAUAAACCGCACUUGAUAGCUCACUUCCUUACCUGUGGGGAAGCAAUCUGUGAGUUGUCGUUGGGUUUUCACUGUUAAGGUUUACCCUGAUGUCACUCUUGAUCGAUUGAAGGCUCGGUUGGCUGCAAAAUGAUAUACUCAAACGUAUGUUGUUGAUUGUGAUGACACUUUCUCACCUGUGACCAAAA